CGCUGACAGAAUGCUUAACACAUGCAAGUCUACUUGAUCCUUCGGGUGAUGGUGGCGGACGGGUGAGUAACGCGUAAAGAACUUGCCCUGCAGUCUGGGACAACAUUUGGAAACGAAUGCUAAUACCGGAUAUUAUGUAUUUCUCGCAUGAGUUUUACAUGAAAGCUAUAUGCGCUGCAGGAGAGCUUUGCGUCCUAUUAGCUAGUUGGUGAGGUAACGGCUCACCAAGGCCAUGAUAGGUAGCCGGCCUGAGAGGGUGAACGGCCACAAGGGGACUGAGACACGGCCCUUACUCCUACGGGAGGCAGCAGUGGGGAAUAUUGGACAAUGGACCAAAAGUCUGAUCCAGCAAUUCUGUGUGCACGAUGAAGUUUUUCGGAAUGUAAAGUGCUUUCAGUUGGGACGAAGUAAGUGACGGUACCAACAGAAGAAGCGACGGCUAAAUACGUGCCAGCAGCCGCGGUAAUACGUAUGUCGCAAGCGUUAUCCGGAUUUAUUGGGCGUAAAGCGCGUCUAGGCGGUUUGGUAAGUCUGAUGUGAAAAUGCGGGGCUCAACUCCGUAUUGCGUUGGAAACUGCUAAACUAGAGUACUGGAGAGGUGGGCGGAACUACAAGUGUAGAGGUGAAAUUCGUAGAUAUUUGUAGGAAUGCCGAUGGGGAAGCCAGCCCACUGGACAGAUACUGACGCUAAAGCGCAAAGGCGUGGGUAGCAAACAGG
rnacentral:rRNA from 1 species